GUUUUUUGUACUUCUUUCUACGGCCUGACCGGCCUCCCGCCGUAUUUCUACGGCGUCUUCUGCCCUGCUGAGCCCUGCUGGUCGCCACCGGGAUGGGAGCAGAUCCAGAUAUGUCUGAAAGGCUGCUGAUGGCUGCACAUUCACAGGAGGGCUGGGGGCAGUCACGAUGACGUGUGAAUCUGUCAUAAACUGCUCUGCUUGGCCACAAUGAAAAGAGAUAUGUUUGCAGGGGAUCAAGUACUCCAGAAAAGUGACUGUAAAGAACAACGCCAAAAAGUAAACAAACGAGAGGCAUAUUACAGUAAAAUGUUGUGCAACUGCCAAGCCAGAGUCACAGAAGAAUAUUCAUCCUGCCUCAUCGCCAU